rnacentral:rRNA from 1 species
GAUCAUGGCUCAGGAUGAACGCUAGCUACAGGCUUAACACAUGCAAGUCGAGGGGCAGCAUGGCCUUAGCUUGCUAAGGCUGACGGCGACCGGCGCACGGGUGAGUAACACGUAUCCAACCUGCCUUACACUCUUGGACAGCCUUCUGAAAGGGAGAUUAAUACAAGAUGUUAUCAUGAGUAAGCAUUUUCGCAUGAUUAAAGGUUUACCGGUGUAAGAUGGGGAUGCG